rnacentral:rRNA from 1 species
UACGGAGGGUGCAAGCGUUAUCCGGAUUCACUGGGUUUAAAGGGUGCGUAGGCGGACAGGUAAGUCAGUGGUGAAAUCUCUGGGCUUAACUCAGAAACUGCCGUUGAUACUAUUUGUCUUGAAUGUCAUGGAGGUAAGCGGAAUAUGUCAUGUAGCGGUGAAAUGCUUAGAUAUGACAUAGAACACCGAUAGCGAAGGCAGCUUACUACAUGAAGAUUGACGCUGAGGCACGAAAGCGUGGGGAGCAAACAGG